GGGGGAUCUCCUGUUUUGAUAGGGUUAGUUAGAAAAACGCUACAUGCAUAGUCACUACAUACUAGAGCUCCAGUUCUAUUCAAGUUCAUACCUGUGUUUUUGUAUGAUGUGAUUCUUUGAAGAUGAAGUAUGCAAUGCAGUUAUUUUGCUUAUUAUAACCGAAGUAAAUCAAUCCCACGUCCUAUAGUUAGGAGACAGCAUGUAUUUAAUCCUGGUAUUCGUGCCAUUUCAGCCUUCUGUGUAUUUGACCCACAUGUUUGAAUUGGCAGUUGAAUCCUGCUGAAUCUUAGAUCUGUUGGUCGUUUUAUGCAUCUUGAGUAGCAAGUAUACAGUAUAUAUCCAUAUAGGGAUUAUAUACACAGAAAUGCAAAUGUAAAUGCACCCAAAGAUUUCAACCUGAUUGUUUUUCUAAGUUUGCCUCAAUGCUGGUAUGGUUCCAUUGUUGUUAUAGGUUUUAAUACAGAAAGCAAACAGCUUUCGAAAAGUUCCAAAAAUCCAAAACAAAUAUGAUGUGCUCUGCUUGAGGGCUAAAGAGCAAGCAUUCGUUAAAGUCAUGCACUCUCGCUAAACAAGGAAGGCCACUCAUACUCCAGUCAUCCGAUAGCUGCUAUGUCCUAGAGGAACUGCUAACCCCCAUAUAGGCAUGAGACCUGGUGUAGGGACGCAUGCAAGAGGGCAGUUCACUAAAACAACUACAGCACUGGUGUGUGCUGCCUGUGCUGCCUUAGACACAGGGACGAAGGGAGAAGCAGAUUGAUUGUGACUGCAGUUCAGGGAUAGAUAAUGCAGUCUGAUGUUCUUGUAUGGACGUAAUCAGCUCGCGCCUGAUGCUACUGUGCCAUAAUUUAGAAGGGGUGCUAAUUAAAUUUGUAGUAAUUGUAGAAUUCCCCACUUCAAUUUGCAGCAUAAUGUACGCUUUCUUAUCAACAGCCAGCACAUCAAGCAAUACUGACACAUACUGUAGACUGAUGGUAGUUUUUAAUGAUUGCCAUCAUAUUAUUAUGAAGUUGGGCAUAAUAUAUAUUUUUUCACAGUGCAGCUGUUUGUGCCAAAUAUUUCUUCAAUAAACAACUGCGUUGUUGAAGCUUUUUAUGGUUAAUAAGGUCAGGUGUGCUUUCUCUGUGUGUGAGUGCAUGUUUGUAUGGAAUCAGGAUGAGUUCAUUUGGAAUCAAAGAAUUUUUUUUAAUAGUGCCCUGAAAGAAAAUACACCAAAAAAAAAACAUUUAGAUAAUUAAGAAAAAAAAAAAAACUGAGGACAUGACGCUUUUGGCACCAUGUUUUCUUCGUAUUUUCAUUACUUUUUGAUAUAUAUAUAUCAAAACAGAAGGAGGACAGAGAGGAACGUUGUUUCUGAGUAUACUCAUUAGGCAGGUCUAUUUACAAGUAUACUACUAAGUACAAGUAUGUGUAAGUAUACAUAAGUGUAGCAUUUAAUGCCGCUGAAGAAUCUAGUCAUUAGGUCGGGUACACUGUACCCCAACCACAGGAAAUGUAAUAUUGUGUAUGCUCAGAAAAAUAGAAUGGCAUUUAACAACAAAACAAAACAAUUAAUAAAACAAUUUAAUGACUUGCAAGUCACUUUAACAAAUAAGUUGUGCUGCCUAAGUGAUGCUACCAUUUAAUAGGCCUAGAAUUUAACAUGUUAAGUUUGGUUACAGAUUCAAUCUUUAUUUAAAAGAAAGAGAAGGAGAACAAUUUGCCCUGUUAAAAACUGACUCACUGGUAAAAGGCAGUGAUGUCUGUGGUGUAAUAUUUGUGUGUGUGUGUGUGUGUGUGUGUGUGUGUGUGUGUGUGUGUGUGUGUGUGUGUGUGUGUGUGUGUGUGUGUGGUGGCGGCUCGAGCUGAUGAUGUGAAUCAUACUGUACAUUAUAUUCCUUCUUCUGUGGUUGUGAUUCAUCAGUCCGCUUGUCAAUGACAAAACUGAAGUGAAAAUUUACAAAGAAAGAAAGCAAACACAAAGAGAAAACUAAAGAAAAAUCAUGAAGUAAUGAGUCAUAUUAAAAAGUUAAACUAUGAGUAAUGACAGAGUGGCGUUGCAAACAUUGCAGGAAAAUGCAUCAAUUCCUAAGUCAUGUCUGCAAUAUCGAUAUAUAUUUUUUGUAGUAGAGUGAGGCCUCGUCUUUGUGCUAUACUAUUUGACCAAAUGUUUUUGGACACCUGACCAUCACACCCAUAUGAGGGCCUUCCCAAAGUUGGUAGCACACAAAAAUGUGUGAAGGUUGGAAGAAGGUGGAAGAACUCGAGUGUCCUGCAAAUAUCCCUGACCUCAACCCCACUGAACACCUUUGAGAUGAACUGGAACUGGAGCUUCCUCACCCAACAUCAGUGCCGAGUGAACACAAAUUUGCACAGUCAUGCUCCAAAAUCUAGCGGAAAGCCUUCCCAGAAGAGUGAGCUUAUUAUAACAGCAAAAGGGGAAUAAAUCUGGAAUGGUACGCUCAGCAAGCACAUCUUCUGUGUGAUUGUCAGGUGUCCACAAACUUUUGGCCAUGCUCUUUUGGUAUGCUCUUGUUUGUCACCAUUAAAGACCUCACUUUGACUCCAUAUGUAUGUGCUAAAACAUUAUAAAUGGCAAGGCAUAGGACUGUCUCUGUAAGUGUGACCUUAUAUGAAGACAUAUUUUAUUCAGCAAAUGCAGACUGAAACGUUCUGUAAAAUCAUAUGCAGAAACAGAUGUUAUCUGCUGUAAUCCAGCUACUUAGGGCAAUAUUCUCACAGAUCCUCCCAUUUAUUUUAGGCAUCUCAAUCUGUAAGGCAAACUUCACCAUAUGUUACUAGGACUUUCUGGUUGCGAGUAAACAAGGAAGUAUCACCUGCAUGUACUCUGUAGUCAUUCCGCAGUACAUCACAUCCAAGCCUUCAUUAUCCCUUUAUAAAACUUCACAAUAAUGUACUUUAUUUAUUCACCAUCCCUUAAACACUCCCUCUUGGUGAUAUAACUUUACGUACUUCCAUAUGUAGCGACUCCACAGUAUUGUGACCUUGUUUGGAGUCUUCUGAUGGGUUAAGACAUUGCGUUAUCACAUACCCAUGAUAUACUGUAACAGCGUCCCUGAGUCCAUCAGACUGAGAUCAAGAUCAUUACUUAAUAUACUUAGAAUAAGGUCAUUCCUUUUAUCUCAUCAUUUUUCAG
ensembl:lncRNA